rnacentral:rRNA from 1 species
CACGUAGGGCGCGAGCGUUGUCCGGAAUUAUUGGGCGUAACGAGCUCGUAGGCGGCCUGUUGCGUCCGCUGUGAAAGCCCGGGGCUUAACCCCGGGUCGGCAGUGGAUACGGGCAGGCUAGAGGUAGGUAGGGGAGAAUGGAAUUCCCGGUGUAGCGGUGAAAUGCGCAGAUAUCGGGAGGAACACCGGUGGCGAAGGCGGUUCUCUGGGCCUUACCUGACGCUGAGGAGCGAAAGCGUGGGGAGCGAACAGG